rnacentral:rRNA from 1 species
CCUACGGGCGGCAGCAGUAGGGAAUAUUGCUCAAUGGGGGAAACCCUGAAGCAGCAACGCCGCGUGGAGGAUGACGGCUUUCGGAGUUUAAAACCCUUUUGAUAGAGAAGAAAAUGACGGUACCUAACCAAUAAGCCCCGGCUAACUUCGUUCCAGCAGCCGCGGUAAUACGGAGGGGGCAAGCGUUAAACGGAAUCACUGGGCGUAAAGGGGGCGUAGACGGGAUAGCAGGUCAGUAGUGAAAUCCUAUGGCUUAACCAUAGAACUGCAUUUGAAACUGUAAUGCUAGAGUACAGGAGAGGUAGGUGGAAUUCUUGGUGUAGCGGUGAAAUGCGUAGAGAUCAAGAGGAACACUGAUUGCGAAGGCGGCCUGCUAGAA